GUCGUCUCCGCAAUGAGAGCCGCCAUCUUCUCGCGCCUAACGUUUUGUAUGGUUUUGUUCUCUGCAAUCCGCGCACACAGCUCAUCGGUGGCUGCACGUCUGCUCGGCGUCGCAAUGCGGCCUGCGUCAUUUUCUGGUGCUCGCGCAGUCGGUGUGAAACAUGUCGCAUGUGAAAUGCUUGAUAGAAGUGCCUCACGUCCAAGUCAAGCCGCCGUACGGGUGUAUGGCUGUGCGCCCCGUUCUCGGAAGCGUCGACGGGUUUCCGGCAUGCGGAUUUCAGCGUUUGGACUCUACUUUUGGUGAGGAUGUCGAUCGACCUUGGGCCUGGUGACAGCACACCCGACAUCGCCAAAGUGCAGCCUAUCAGCUGAGUGCCCCCGAAUGGACCAUCAACAUUGGAAAAUGAAGCAAAGCCAGGGGGAAAAGGUUCCGGUAACACUGCAUUCAGUAUGGUGGCCCAGACGUGUAUGCAAGCAACCUCCUUCAUGUGGACCAAGAACUACUCUGCAGUGUCUCACAGACUUCCAUGCGAAGCCCUCAACAUUCUCGUCUCGGUGGAAUGGCUGCUCAUCUAUCUGCGUGUCCAUCACCAAGAUGGCCAGUUGUAAAGCUCCUGUACCCGUUUAAGACAGCUUAAUGAUUUUUUUUAUUUAGUUUUCAUGGUUGGCCGUAGAAUCUUAACAUUUUUGAUGUUUCUAACGUUUUUACCUGGCCCAAAGUGGUGCAAUAACUUUAAACCAGUGUAAUGUAUUUAAGUGAUGCUCACUCUAAUGCCUAUCUGGUUUUGUUUGUGUUUAAGAAAUUUGAAUGUCUGAUGAGGUAACAGCAUUUAAACUUGUCAUCGUGGCUCUUUUCAGUGAGCUGCUAGGAAAUAAGAUGCAAAACUUAUCACACACCAGUUGUAGCAUUUUUGUUUUCAAGACUAAAGUAUACAUGUUUCAAAAGAUGGAAAGUGGGGAAAAAAGCCUCAAGAACAUAAUCAUCCUAGGAUUGUCAUGUCCUUACAACUCUGCAAUGACUAAUGCCUCAUACAUCUUGGGAGCACAUUGGUCGCAUUGCCUACAGGUAUAUUUGAUAAGAGAAUAGCUUGCACUCAGAUUUGCCACGCAGUUGAUGGCUGAUAGCUUUUGUUUGUCGUCUUCAUGUUACUACUAUGUAUUCAAUAUUCAUUUACAUGUGCUGCGGUUUUUUGCAGUCACACACACACACACACACACACACACACACACACACACACACACACACACACACAUAUAUAUAUAUAU